UAAGGACUAUAUAUACUAAAAUCAUCAUCUUCAGUUUUGAAAGACUUAAGUAGAAAAUAAGUUUUUCUUUUAAGUACCAAAGGGCCUAUAGCUCAGUUGGUUAGAGCACACGCCUGAUAAGCGUGAGGUCGGUGGUUCAAGUCCAUUUAGGCCCACCAAAAAAAGGUCCUGCUUAAAAAGUUCUUUGAAAAGUAGAUAAACAUGCUUUAAAAUUUUCAUAAAGUUGAAGGAAUUAAGGGCAUAUAGUGGA
rnacentral:misc_RNA from 1 species